CCACACAGCACAAACCGUUGUUAAAUCACCUGCUGCAUUGAACGUUACUCACCGGAGCUCUGUGAUUCAGCAGGUCAGGUCAGCUGGCGACUGUCAAACUCCUCCUCCUAGUGCCACUGCCACCGCCGCAACUCAGCAGAGUCAGCAGCCAGCCAUCCAGCGGCAAGUUUUCGGGCAAGCUAUUAAACCAAGGCUCAGGAAAAGCCCGAAAAUGAGUCAGUGGAAGGAACGCUUCGUGACUGUGCUCCAUGAGAAAAACUUUGUGACAGAUCAGUUGGCGACGCUGGAACAAAAAACGGGAGUAAAGAGAGAGUAUAUCGCCUUUGGUGUUAUGAGUUUGGUCGGGCUUUAUCUUCUUUUUGGAUAUGGAGCCUCACUGCUCUGCAACCUGAUUGGCUUUGCCUAUCCAGCAUAUUUCUCUAUCAAGGCCAUUGAGAGCAGUGCGAAGGAGGAUGAUACACAGUGGCUGACCUACUGGGUUGUUUAUGGACUCUUCAGCAUCGCCGAGGCCUUUUCUGACAUCUUCCUCUUCUGGUUCCCCUUUUACUAUAUUGGCAAGUGUUUGUUCCUGAUAUGGUGCAUGGCUCCAGUGACGUGGAACGGCUCCGCGGUCUUGUACAACCGUGUGAUCCGGCCAUUUUUCUUGAAGCACCAGGCUACCAUGGACAGUGUGGUCAGCGAUCUGAGCGCCAGGGCUAAGAACAUAACUGAGACCGUGACAAAGGAGGGUGAGAUACCCACAGUAUACAUCUGUUAACCGGGCCCUCAACCAUGACAAGGACCAGUGAGAAACACGGGAAGGCUUUGUGUGUGUGUCUGCGUGUGUGUGUGUGUGUGUGUGCACGCAUGUUUGUUUGGCUGGUUGAAAGACAAUUAUAUUGAUCAACCCCCGUGUCAUACGGUGAACUGAAGCUUUACACUUGUUAAAAUAAAUAAUAGCAUGUUUGUGCGUUAUCAGUUUACUGCCAUUGGUACUGCUAAGACAAUCGGAGAAGCUGUGACCUUUUAUGUGAUGUUCUUUGUUGUAGUGUGAAAGAUAUUCAUUCAUAGCAAAGUUUAUGAUUGUAUGCCUUCAGGUUUCAGCAACACUGGUGGUGCAGUCAAUAUUAUUGUCCAAUUGAGCCAUUUGUGCCAGAGAACGGAGGCUGACAACAUUACGGUUAAAAGAAGUUGUCUUCAAAUGUUUUCACAAACGGCAUUUUCUAACAUUGUUAAUCUUAACUGGAACUUGUACAUGUCAUUAAUGUGUUCUUGCUGUUAAAUGCCUCACUAUUUAUGUGCCAAGCAACAUUUAAAGUCUGUUUGAGCUAUUGGGAAGGUUCUCGGUCUUUCUUUCCAGGAUUCUUUCUUUCUCUGCACGUCUUCUGCCUUUUGAUAUGUCUUAAUUUAUCUUCUCACAAUGAUGACAUAAUAAAACUGGAACCUUAAUGAACUGAA